CAUCUUCACAACAACUAUAUCAAAAACGUCCUCCAGUCCAGGGCCAGUCUAGAUGAAUGCAUAAAAAUCAAUGAAGCAAUAAAAGUCAAAGACAAUUCAAGAUAUGAUAUUAGGAUUGCACUGGGAUUGAAAGCUAUAUAUGCGGGACAAAAUAUCACAAUUCUGAAAUUCGUAUUUUUAAACAUACAGAAGGAACCUAAUCAUUCUUAAUUUCCCUCACAUCUGAAGUUCGUCAGAAACACAUUAAUGUUAUUUCAUAAUGAUCAGUGGAACUCUCUCACCUUACUGAAAUCAUUGUCACUAACUUCCUCUGUGUUCCAUGUCUGUUCAGGCUAUUUUUCUUUUCUUUUCUUUUUUUUUACAUUUGGACGACAACGUUAGCCUACUGUAAAAAGGGUGAACUUACCCAGAGAAGGACUUUGACUUACCCCACAUCUCAGUCUUAUUUUUAUAUCACUCUUCUGAGGGAUAUCUGUAUGGAACAAGUGCUAUAGCCCAGGGCUGGACUGGUAAUCUGGCAUACCGGACAAAUUCAAAUUCCCGGUGGGCCGACGCCCUUCUGGGCUGGUCGAUAUAAAAUACAUUUUUUUUUUUUAUAUUAUUUUUUUUUUUUUAAUUGGCCAACGACCGGCCCAUAAAGCAGGGACAGCGACCUAUUGGUUCAUUUUCCAUACUGACACUGGGCUGGCCCAAUCAUCUCUUAACAGGCUCUACCCCGCCCCCUCUGUUUCUUGUGUCAGAUGCAGUCUGUGGAUUAGGAUGGAGAAACAAACGCGCAAAGGGGUUGUGGAGAAGUUGCGUGCCAAAAAAAAAAUAAAAAAAAAAAUAUGUUGAUGCCUCAACAAGUGCAAAAAUAACCGACAUGUUUAGUGCUGUAGCUUCAGUUUCCAAGCCUACAGUACUUGACGACAUUUUGGAAAAACAGGUGAACAUAGCACGUGGAGGAGAGGUGACUAAAAGUUAGCCAUGGCGGCACCCAGGCAGAUGAGCAGGUGUCUGAUAGUGAAGUCAAAGAGGGACAGAGUGAGCAGGAGAGUGUAAUAGAAACGCCAAGUUGAGUUAGCAGUGGAGGAGAAGGACCUUUGGUCAACAGAGAGUCAAGUCAGAUGGCCAGUCAAGAAUUCCCAAACCAUCAGAGUGCAGAGUAAAUGCAGUACAGUGAUGCCCAAUGAUGUCCGUUGGGAAGUAAUCAAGUGUCAUAUGUGAAGGGACAGCAAUGCGAAGGAACACCAUCAGUCAGCACACGGCCACUUCCACCCAUGCCAUGCGUUCGGGACGCACUCGUGCUGGGCUCCUUUAGACACACCACAGCCGCUGCCAUCUCCGGGC